rnacentral:rRNA from 1 species
UGGGGAAUAUUGGACAAUGGGGGCAACCCUGAUCCAGCGAUGCCGCGUGGGUGAAGAAGGCCUUCGGGUUGUAAAGCCCUUUAGGUUGGGAAGAAGGGUGUAGGUGGAUAAUGCUUACACUUUGACGGUACCGACAGAAUAAGCACCGGCAAACUCUGUGCCAGCAGCCGCGGUAAUACAGAGGGUGCAAGCGUUAAUCGGAGUUACUGGGCGUAAAGGGCGCGUAGGCGGUUAUAUGUGUGCAAUGUGAAAGCCCCGGGCUUAACCUGGGAAGUGCAAGGCAAACUGUAUAACUGGAGUAUAUGAGAGGGUGGCGGAAUUUCCGGUGUAGCGGUGAAAUGCGUAGAGAUCGGAAGGAACGUCGAUGGCGAAGGCAGCCACCUGGCAUAAUACUGACGCU